AUUUCCCUGUCCAACUCCUGGCCCUUCUGAGGCUGUGUAGGUGUCUGGGCUUUAUCUUUGGGGGUAAAACAUUGAGCUCUCUUCCCUCCCUACUGGAUACAAUUCCAGACAGGGCCUUAAGAGAUGCUAACACA
ensembl:snoRNA